GUUUGAUCCUGGCUCAGGAUGAACGCUGGCGGCGUGCCUAAUACAUGCAAGUCGGACGGGGUACAGAAGCAAUUUUGUACUUAGUGGCGAACGGGUGAGUAACGCGUUGGUGACCUGUCCCAAAGCGGGGGAUAACAGCCUGAAAGGUUGCUAAUACUGCAUAUGGUCAAAAGGGAUUAGAAGCUUUUGAUUAAAGGAGAAAUCCACUUUGGGAGGGGCCUGCGUCCCAUCAGCUAGUUGGUAGGGUAACGGCCUACCAAGGCGAAGACGGGUAGGGGACCUGAGAGGGUGACCCCCCACAAUGGAACUGAAACACGGUCCAUACACCUACGGGUGGCAGCAGUAGGGAAUAUUGCACAAUGGGCGAAAGCCUGAUGCAGCAACGCCGCGUGAGUAAGAAGGCCCUCGGGUUGUAAAACUCUUUUCAAGAGGAAGAGGAAGGACGGUACUCUUGGAAUAAGCCUCGGCUAACUACGUGCCAGCAGCCGCGGUAACACGUAGGAGGCGAGCGUUAUUCGGAUUUACUGGGCGUAAAGCGCGUGUAGGCGGCUUAUUAAGUUGGAUGUGAAAGCUCCUGGCUUAACUGGGAGAGGACGUUCAAAACUAGUAAGCUUGAGUACGAGAGAGGAAAAUGGAAUUCCGGGUGUAGUGGUGAAAUGCGUAGAUAUCCGGAGGAACACCAGUGGCGAAGGCGAUUUUCUGGCUCGAGACUGACGCUCAGACGCGAAAGCUAGGGUAGCAAACGGGAUUAGAGACCCCGGUAGUCCUAGCUGUAAACGAUGUAGACUAGGCGUUGGUGGAGUAAAAUCCAUCAGUGCCGGAGCAAACGCGAUAAGUCUACCGCCUGGGGACUACGGCCGCAAGGUUAAAACUCAAAGGAAUUGACGGGGCCCCGCACAAGCAGCGGAGCGUGUGGUUUAAUUCGAUGCUACACGAAGAACCUUACCAGGGUUUGACAUACAAGUGGUAGAGAAGUGAAAACGGAACGACCCUUCGGGGAGCUUGUACAGGUGCUGCAUGGCUGUCGUCAGCUCGUGUCGUGAGAUGUUCGGUUAAGUCCGCUAACGAGCGCAACCCUCGCUGUGUGUUACAAGUGUCACACGGAACUGCCGGUCAUAAACCGGAGGAAGGUGGGGAUGACGUCAAGUCAGCAUGGCCUUUAUAUCCUGGGCUACACACACGCUACAAUGGGAAGGGACAAUAGGUAGCGAAGCGCGAGGCGGAGCCAAUCCAGCAAAACUUCCCUCAGUUCAGAUUGCAGGCUGCAACUCGCCUGCAUGAAGUUGGAGUUGCUAGUAAACGCAGGUCAGCCAUACUGCGUUGAAUACGUUCCCGGGGCUUGUACACACCGCCCGUCACGUCAUGGGAGCUGGUAACACCUGAAGCCGGUAGCUUAACCUGCAAGGGAGAGCGCUGUCAAAGGUGGGGCUGGUGACUGGGACGAAGUCGUAACAAGGUAGCCG
rnacentral:rRNA from 1 species